UUGCUCAAGCAGAAAUAUGCUACUCGAACUUCACCACCAAGAUAAAUGGUGCCUUGUAUCCGCUUGAUCCAUACGGUUUGAGUGGCCGCUACGCUGGUUUAUGGUCAAAUUAUAGCAACAUAGAUAUCAGCCAGGGCAUGAGUUACCAGGUGUGGAUGCUGAGUUAUAACGCUGAAACGCCAAAAUCGUUUUUCCUGGCACUCAUUGCCAUCCGCAAUCCAAGUGAGUAUUGGGAUCUCACAAGACCGGUCAUCCUGUGGAAGGCCCGACAGACGAGGCUUGUAGGUGAGAAUGCCACUUUACAAUUUACCGCAGAUGGAGAGCUUAAAAUCGAAGAAGACGAUGAUGUCGUAUGGUCCACGAAAACUGCAAACAGAGGCGUCCGGUGGCUCUGUAUUUCCAAUCGCGCAACCAUAAUGCUCCUGGAUGAAAGCGGAAGCAAUGUCAUCUGGCAAAGCAGCGACGAACCUUCUGAUACUGUGCUGUUGCAACGAGCACUUACGCCGGGACAAAAGCUCGUAAGUUGGAAUACUUCAGAAGACAGCAGCGAUGGCCUCUAUAGUCUCGUCAUAGAGAAAAACAGGCUGCAACUGUUGUACGCCUCGCAACCGUACUGGAGCUUCGGUAAUAUUACCAGCGAGGAAGAUAUGUUUGCGGUGUUCUGCAGGCAAAACGAUGGUAUCGUGUCUCUGGAUCUGCGAGCCAACUUCUCACAGAUUGAAACGAAUCGUGAUGACUUGGGGUUGGUGUUUUCAUUGUCAUGUUCCAGUCGAGGUUUAAGAGAUCAAGUGAUGGAGUUGCCAAUAGAUGGG
rnacentral:lncRNA from 1 species